GGAGGGAUGGCCGAGUGGACGAAGGCGCCUGUCUUGAAAACAGGUAAGGGUAUCCCCCUUCGAGGGUUCGAAUCCCUCUCCCUCCG
rnacentral:tRNA from 1 species